AGCAAGAUAGCUUGGUUGGUAGAGCAUGAGACUCUUUAAUUUCAGGGUUGUGGGUUCAAGCGCCACAUUGGGCAA